rnacentral:rRNA from 1 species
AUGGAGUUAUUGUGUCCGGCAAAAGUCAAAUUUUUUAUAUGGCGUACAUUACAUGGAACGCUUCCGUGUCGGGUUACGCUCGCAAAUAGACAUAUGAAGGUCACGCCCAUUUGCCCUACUUGCUCUGAGGGUUCUGAAGAUACAAAGCAUAUGCUUUUCCUUUGCAGUAGAGCAAAGGAGGUUUGGACAAGGCUGGGGAUGGAUGAUAUCUUUGAUAAAGCUUGCAAGGUUGACCUUGCGGGAGAGGCAGUGCUGGAAUACCUACUACUUCUGCCAGAUCAAGAUUUGAGGAUAAUGGGUUAUCACAAUGUGCGUGAAAUGAUUGCUGUCUCAGCAUGGUAUCUAUGGUGGGAAAGACGGAAGUUAGUGCACAAGGAGACAACUCAGAAUGCACUUCAGAUUUCAAUGGGGAUUCUAUCCCUUACGUCAAACUUCGUAAAUGCGUCAUCCCCCAGGGCUUCUAUGAAAAAGGGGGUUGGUCAUGUCCUCCUAGGGGUUUUGUGA